AAGCCAAACCGAGACAAUCAAGAUGAAUUGAUCUGAGAUUUGUAGUUGUAGGAUUCAGAGAAGUCCGAUGUCCAGCCUAUUGUUUUGAAUCUAAUAGCUUCAACCGAAUUUUAGGAGUAGAGAUUUUAACCUACUUAUAAAGUUUUUUAAGAGAGAGAGACGAGAUUGUGUGAGAGGGAUGGAGAGAGGGGAGUGGAAGUGAGGUGGGACUUAAUAGCGUUGAAAAAGAAAUUUUGGGCCUGGAACGAAUAAAUCACUUGUGUAUUCAUUUUAUAUUGUACGUGAAACACCUACAUAAGGGUAUGCAUAUAUUGGUUAACACUGUUUGUCAUGUUUUCAUUUUUCUCCCUGCACUUCCACUUGUCCAUGCCUAAUUUUCUGCACUUACAUGAUUUUCAGUUUCACUUGCUCAAUACACGAUUUGCUUUGCAGAUGGCAUCUUCACAACAAUUUGAGGGCCAUGCCCCAUUCAAAGAUCUGACCAACACCAACAGCCUAUCCUUUUAGGUGGCUUCACAAAUCGCAAGCUGGAGGAUGAAUGUAAUGGGGAGAUGUAAUGGGGAUGAGUAUUUUGGGAUAACUAGGCCUUAUGCUUUGCCAA